GGGGAUGACCGGUUUUGACAGCGUGUAGAGGUGGUGAGCAAGCAUGCAGAGCAACGAUGCCUACGCUCUUUAAUCUGGGACAUCAGCAAUUUUAAAUGGCGAAAACAACUACGCUCUUGCUGCCUGAUCGAAGCACAGUAGAUCACGCUUAAUCUCCGCAACAGUUGCAGAGACAAGACAUCGCCCGGCUGCCCUCUUCCCGAGGCGAGCCGAACCGGCGGUGCAGACAAAUCGGGAAUAGGAAGCUGAAUGCCGCGCGAAGCUUCUGAGAUUUUAGCGGAUAAGGGUCGGCAUUGGCGGUUUCAGGCCUGUGCCACCACGAAAACCAAUCUGAAAAUAAGCAUGUAGAAAACUCAUUAGUUCCACGUUUGGACGAGGGUUCAAACCCCUCCAUCUCCACU
rnacentral:tmRNA from 1 species